AAAAGAAAAAUAAUCCACUCUUUGAAAGCCUGUCAUAUGUAUGUAUAUGUUAUGUACAAAGUCAAUCACAUUAAACAGUUAAAGGAAACAGUUCAUGAAUGCAUCUAGAUAAAUGCUGAAAAUAUAUUUAAUACAAAUUAAGUGCCAACCUCAGAUUCAAACUAGAAUUGCAGGCAGCUCCCUUACCAUAAUAAUAAUUACUUAUAUGAAACCAAUAGCCAAUGUCAUACUUAACAAUGAAAUACUACAGGCAUUCAUCUGAAGCCAGCCCUGACAUUUCCAUUCUUUUCUUUUCUUUUCUUUUUCUUUUUUUUUUUUUUUUGAGACAUCAUCCCGCUCUGUCGCCCAGGCUGGAGUGCAGUGGUGCGAUCUCGGCUUACCGCAAGUUCCACCUCCCGGGUUCACACCAUUCUCCUGCCUCAGCCUUCUGAGAAGCUGGGACUACAGGCGCCCGCCAUCAUGUCCGGCUAAUUUUUUUGUAUUUUUAGUAGAGACGGAGUUUCACAGUGUUAGCCAGGAUAGCCUUGAUUUCCUGACCUUGUGAUUCGCCCGCCUCGGCCUCCCAAAGUGCUGGGAUUACAAGCGUGAGCCACUGCGUCUGGCCUCCACUCUUUUGAAAAUCUUUACCAAGGGAUGUCUUGGUUCUCUUUCAAUGGCGGAGACAGCAUAUGUGUUUGUGCAUUACUUGAAGAUCUUCCACUCUACCAGAUGAAACUGGGAAAGGACAAUGUACCAAAGAGUAUCCAAGCACAGAAGGGAAUCUCAGUUUGAAGUUAGAAUUGAAUCCAAGAGGAAGAGAAGCAUCCUUCCUUCAGUGCCUUUGUGGUGGUGCUUGGUGAGAGAUAGUGGUGAAGGCAUUGCCUAAAGAGAGAGGCACUAACAGGCAGAGGAGUGGUUGAGACCAGUAAGAACUGCCCUGCCUGGUGGAGCAGAGGCAGAAGCUGAUGCCCAGGCUCUGCAGCAUCUAUAGGGAACUUGGUGCCUGCAGUGCUCAUCAAAUGAUCCAGAGGCCUCCUUGAACACUGCAAAACCCAGAAGAAAUUACCAUGCCAACGGAGCAGAACCAGAUCCUUUGGGGAAACACAGCGCUGGUGGAAGAACUAUAGCUCCACCAGGUCUGUACUUUCCUCUUCAAGGUGAAGUCUGUUGUAAGGAUGGACAUUGAACUUGCCUAGAAAACUGUCUGGUUUUAUUUCAAAACGCUAAGCCUCAGUAAAGGAGAGAAAUAGCAGGCCACAGCUGAACUACAUUUUCUAGCAAUCCUCAGAAUAAGAUGUGGUCAUUGACUGAAUUCUGGACAAUGGAAUGGAGUAGAGUGAAAUACAUCACUCCUAGGUUUGGCCUGUCAAAUCUCAUGCACAAUUCUGUACAUUCAUGUGCCAGCCUCUCCUCGGGUGGGGACUCCAAGCACUUUGGAGUUGGUGGAGCCACAAGAUGGAUCUGAGAUCUUUGCUAAGGUAGGGUUUCCCUGGCUGGCCUAUAGCUGACUGUGACAUAAGAGAGAAAUAAAUUUUGAU
rnacentral:lncRNA from 1 species